CCCUUAGAUGUUCUGGGCAGCACGCGCGCUACAAUGGUCUUCGCAAACGGAUGCAUUCUCGAAGGAGAAUGCCAAUCUUGGAAUCUAUGCCUUGGUCGGGACAGUUGCUUGCAAUUUUUCGACUCGAACCAGGAAUUCCUUGUAAUCGUGAUUCAUCACAUCACGAUGAAUACGUCCCUGCCCUUUGUACACACCGCCCGUCGCUCCUACCGAUCGAAGAGUUAGGUGAAUUGUUUUGAUCGAUAAGAUUUGACUAUGGUCAACUCGCGUUGUGAAAUUCUGUGAAUCUGACUGUUUAGAGGAAGGAAAAGUCGUAACA
rnacentral:rRNA from 1 species